GACAGAGGAUGCAAGCGUUAUCCGGAAUGAUUGGGCGUAAAGCGUCUGUAGGUGGCUUUUUAAGUCCGCCGUCAACUCCCAGGGCUCAACCCUGGACAGGCGGUGGAAACUACCAAGCUGGAGUACGGUAGGGGCAGAGGGAAUUUCCGGUGGAGCGGUGAAAUGCGUAGAGAUCGGAAAGACCACCAAUGGCGAAGGCACUCUACUGGGCCAUUACUGACACUGAGAGACGAAAGCUAGGGGAGCAAAUGGG
rnacentral:rRNA from 1 species